CCUACGGGCGGCAGCAGUGAGGAAUAUUGGUCAAUGGGCGUAAGCCUGAACCAGCCAAGUCGCGUGAGGGAUGAAGGUUCUAUGGAUCGUAAACCUCUUUUAUCAGGGAAUAAAGUGUGGGACGUGUCCUGUUUUGUAUGUACCUUAUGAAUAAGGAUCGGCUAACUCCGUGCCAGCAGCCGCGGUAAUACGGAGGAUCCGAGCGUUAUCCGGAUUUAUUGGGUUUAAAGGAUGCGUAGGCGGCCGUUUAAGUCAGCGGUGAAAGUCUGUGGCUCAACCAUAGAAUAGCCGUUGAAACUGGGAGGCUUGAGUAUGUGUGAGGCAGGCGGAAUGCGUGGUGUAGCGGUGAAAUGCUUAGAUAUCACGCAGAACCCCGAUUGCGAAGGCAGCCUGCCAAGCCAUGACUGACGCUGAUGCACGAAAGCGUGGGGAUCAAACAGGAUUAGAUACCCCAGUAGUC
rnacentral:rRNA from 1 species